rnacentral:misc_RNA from 1 species
AUGAUUAUUGAGGCAGG